rnacentral:rRNA from 1 species
GUAUGUGCCUGCAUAUUUAAAUAAGUCAAGGUAUGAAAACAAAACGUAUCCUAACACUUUACAUAAACGUCCAUUACCCUGUUCGCUAAAUAUUUUGAUGGCCCCCAGCGUUGGUUUGGGAACAAAUAUUUGUGUGAAAACAGAGCGAUUUUCAUGGUUAUUUCGCUUCCUGAGUCAUGAAUUAAAAUUGUGGUGUCUUUGUUGUUGAUGCUGUUUUUAGUAGUCUGUCAGACAGUAAAUAGAUGCAUCAAAAGUAGGCCUUAGUAUGUUGGUAAGGUUAAAAAGUCUUCUCAUAAAGUCACUGAAAAGGAAUAUAAGUCACUAUUGUAUUAAGAGUGUGUAAGACAAUUAAUAAUGUCCAAGAACAAUGCGGCCGACGAACCUGGCCGUUGGAAAGAGAGAUAAUUGAUUGUUAGAGCGAGAUCAAAGUAUAGGUACUAUAGAUACACGUUGUAUGAGUAGUCAUAAGUAGUCAUUCAGUUAGAAAACAUUGUAAAGUAUGCAGAUAAGAGUUACAAAAGAUCAGUUUUGUUUCAAUAUUACGAAGGCCUACAACAACGUUUUAAAGAAAUAUAGUUGCAGUUGUUAAAAAGAGAUGACGCUCUACACCGUGUAAUGCGCUGUCACGCUUUUACAUAUGCAAUAAUAUUACUUUAAGACGUGGCAGUAGGCUCUCAAGUAAAGUUACUUGUAAACAUUGAUACAUUUACUAUAGACAUGAUUAAAGGAUUACAGGGAUUUGUAAAGUGAAUGUGACGUGGGUAGCGUUUCAAGAGUGAGUGAAGUCAUAAAUGUGUUGGCACUUAGCCAGAUGUACUACGGGAUUUAUGUUUUGAAUUUGAAAUUAAUAUCAAUAUAAGUGAUUUCGUGUGGCUACGACGUCGUUGGUGCAGUGAAGUGAACAGAUGUUGUGCAUUCGUUUUCUGGAUUAAAACCUAUGCGGUUUAUUUAGUACAUUGCCGAAACAAUAUUGAAACUUAUCUAAGUGAGUAAAGAGUUCACAGUUAUAUAGUAAAGUUCCUGAAGGAGCUGUGGCCAGCUAGGAUUUUAAAUUGCAAAUGAUUUUCAAUCCUAUCCACAUGAUUGAAAGGUUUACAAUAAAUUAUGCUGCCGGCCAAAACUCUUUCGAUGAUGAUUGACACUAAGAUUAUUAUUUUCUGAUAGUCUUUUGAGAAGGAAAAAUAUGUUUUUUUUUUACCAGCACGAUAACGCUAUACUGGAUCCAAUCACGCAUUAUUCCUCCUAUAUAAUAUAAUCGUAGUACCGUAUAAUUGCCCGUCAAUUAUGCCCAUUCAAUUAAUUGACAACAAUGUCGCUGAUUAGUUUAGCAUCAAGCAACUCAAAGCCAUCUCAUUUCAAAGAAAUCGAUAUAUCAAGAUGAUAAUUAUCAUGAUUACAAUUAAAUAAUUCAAAUUUUUGACAAACUUCGAAACUGCAGCAUCUAUAUUUACUCGCUGUUGCUAUAUCAACGAACCAACCAAACUAUCAAUCUAGGUUUUUGAAUUUAAUCACUUUAUUGUCACACGUCUCUGGUGAACGUAUUAUGAAAGCAAAGGUCAAAAAAUAUACUACACCUUUAGAUAGAAUAUUGUGUAAUUUUACAUGGUAUGUUAUCAAAUAACCCAGUUCGAUAGUUGGUUGACGAGCUAAAAAAGCAUUGAUAUAGAAAAUUUUAAUUUUAGAAUAUUUUUUUACACGAUAACGCGUGUGACGAUUUAAAACGCUGUUUUAACAAGCGGAGUUGUGCUAUUUCAGCUCAGUGUUGGUCCUUUUGCCAUAGUAUAGUAUCCACAGUUUCUAAUUAGUUAAAGAAAAUGUACAAAAUCCCGAAUCACGUCUAUACCAGUGAAUUGCUAGAGACCAAUAGUCCGAUAUACUACCAUUUUUUUUGACACGAAGACAAAAACAGCUAUUCUCUCCAAAACUAACGGACGGGAAGCGGAUGCGGCCGGUGCCGGGCCUGGUCGAUGCUCUCGCGUCUUUCGGGGCGCGAGGGCGGAAUCCGGACCCGCGUUCCGGCCUUCCGCGGAUCUUCCUAGCCGUAAGGCCGUGUCGGUCUCGACUCGUGCGCGAUCGGCGCGGUUCUGUACGACCGCCGUUCAACGGUCAGCUCAGAACUGGCACGGACAAGGGGAAUCCGACUGUCUAAUUAAAACAAAGCAUUGCGAUGGCCCUCGCGGGUGUUGACGCAAUGUGAUUUCUGCCCAGUGCUCUGAAUGUCAACGUGAAGAAAUUCAAGCAAGCGCGGGUAAACGGCGGGAGUAACUAUGACUCUCUUAAGGUAGCCAAAUGCCUCGUCAUCUAAUUAGUGACGCGCAUGAAUGGAUUAACGAGAUUCCCACUGUCCCUAUCUACUAUCUAGCGAAACCACAGCCAAGGGAACGGGCUUGGGAGAAUCAGCGGGGAAAGAAGACCCUGUUGAGCUUGACUCUAGUCUGGCAUUGUAAGGAGACAUGAGAGGUGUAGCAUAAGUGGGAGAUCGUUCGCGCGAUCGUCGCUGAAAAACCACUACUUUCAUUGUUUCAUUACUUACUCGGUUGGGCGGAAGCGGUGCGCGGUCGAUGUUAAUCGGCGGGCGCACGGUGUUUCGUUCCAAGCGUGCAGAGUGGCGACGUGGCGGCAACGCUCGUCGCCGUAAAACUCCCGCGUGAUCCGGUUCGAGGACACUGCCAGGCGGGUAGUUUGACUGGGGCGGUACAUCUGUCAAAGAAUAACGCAGGUGUCCUAAGGCCAGCUCAGCGAGGACAGAAACCUCGCGUGGAGCAAAAGGGCAAAAGCUGGCUUGAUCCAGAUGUUCAGUACGCAUAGGGACUGCGAAAGCACGGCCUAUCGAUCCUUUAGUAUAAAGAGUUUUUAGCAAGAGGUGCCAGAAAAGUUACCACAGGGAUAACUGGCUUGUGGCAGCCAAGCGUUCAUAGCGACGUUGCUUUUUGAUCCUUCGAUGUCGGCUCUUCCUAUCAUUGCGAAGCAAAAUUCGCCAAGCGUUGGAUUGUUCACCCAUCAAAAGGGAACGUGAGCUGGGUUUAGACCGUCGUGAGACAGGUUAGUUUUACCCUACUGAUGGCUUGUCGUUGCGAUAGUAAUACUGCUCAGUACGAGAGGAACCGCAGUUUCGGACAUUUGGUUCAUGCACUCGGCCGAGCGGCCGGUGGUGCGAAGCUACCAUCCGCGGGAUUAUGCCUGAACGCCUCUAAGGCCGAAGCCAGCCUAGCCGAAUCCGGCAAGGAUAUGCUCACUGUGGAGCCCCGAGAGUCGGGAGGCUCUAAACAAUGUGACUUUACUAGUCGCGCUUCACCACGUGAGGUGCGACGUCGAAGCCCAUUUGGAUCGCGGAGAUCGAUGCUGUCCGUUUAACGCGUGCAUCACGGCUCCGAAGGUCCGAAUUUACCUCAGUUCGAUGUCGGGGCUCGGAAUAGUCUGUAGACGACUUCCGUUCCUGGCGGGGUGUUGU